rnacentral:rRNA from 1 species
AUUGAACGCUGGCGGCAUGCUUUACACAUGCAAGUCGAACGGUAACAGGCCGCAAGGUGCUGACGAGUGGCGAAAGGGUGAGUAAUGCAACGGAACGUGCCCAGUCGUGGGGGAUAACGCAGCGAAGGCUGCGCUAAUACCGCAUACGAUCACCGGAUGAAAGCGGAGGACCGAAAGGCCUCGUGCGAUUGGAGUGGACGAUGUCAGAUUAGGUAGUUGGUGGGGUAAAGGCUGACCAAGCCAACGAUAUGUAGCUGGUCUGAGAGGACGACUAGCCACACUGGUGCUGAGACACGACCCAGACUCCUACGGGAGGCAGCAGUGGGGAAAUUUGUACAAUGGGCGAAAGCCUGAUCCAGCAAUGCCGCGUGCAGGAAGGAGGCCUUCGGGUUGUAAACUGCUUUUGUACGGAGCGAAAAGGUCUCCUCUAAUACAGGUGGCUCAUGACGGUACCGUAGGAAUAAGCACCGGCUAACUACGUGCCAGCCGCCGCCGUAA